rnacentral:rRNA from 1 species
AACGGGUGAGUAACACGUGGGUAACCUGCCCAUCAGAAGGGGAUAACACUUGGAAACAGGUGCUAAUACCGUAUAACAAUCGAAACCGCAUGGUUUUGAUUUGAAAGGCGCUUUCGGGUGUCGCUGAUGGAUGGACCCGCGGUGCAUUAGCUAGUUGGUGAGGUAACGGCUCACCAAGGCGACGAUGCAUAGCCGACCUGAGAGGGUGAUCGGCCACAUUGGGACUGAGACACGGCCCA